rnacentral:rRNA from 1 species
GACAGAGGAGCCAAGCGUUGUCCGGAUUUACUGGGCGUAAAGAGCGCGCAGGCGGUCGUUCAAGUCGAGUGUGAAAGCCCCCGGCUCAACUGGGGAGGGUCACUCGAUACUGAUCGACUCGAAGGCAGAAGAGGGAAGCGGAAUUCCCGGUGUAGUGGUGAAAUGCGUAGAUAUCGGGAGGAAGGCCGGUGGCGAAGGCGGCGCUCUGGAACAUUUCUGACGCUGAGGCUCGAAGGCGUGGGGAGCAAACAGG